UAGCAAUACAUCAGUGGCGCACGGGUGAGUAAUGAAUAGCUAACGUACCCUAGGGACUGGGAUAGCCAUCCGAAAGGAUGGGUAAAACCAGGUGAAAUAAUCGGAAGGCAUCUUCUGAUUCUCAUAUACCGCAAGGUGCCCCUGGAUCGGGCUAUUUCGUAUCAGCUAGUUGGUGAGGUAACGGCUCACCAAGGCGACGACGCGUAGCCGGACUGAGAGGUCGGUCGGCCACAUCGGGACUGAGACACUGCCCGGACUCCUACGGGGGGCUGCAGUAACGAAUCUUCCCCAAUGUACGAAAGUAUGAGGGAGCGACGCUGCGUGGAGGAUGAAGUCCUUCGGGAUGUAAACUCCUGUCAGGGGAUACCAAGUUCUGAGGAUCCCCAAAGGAAGAGGCGGCUAACUCUGUGCCAGCAGCCGCGGUAACACAGAGGCCUCUAGCGUUAGGCGGAAUCACUGGGCUUAAAGCGUGUGUAGGCGGGUCGUUAAGUGCCUUGUGAAAUCCCCUGGCUCAACCAGGGAACUGCUUGGCAUACUGGCGAUCUUGAGCCACCUAGGGGCAACUGGAACAGACGGUGGAGCGGUGAAAUGCGUAGAUAUCGUCUGGAACGCCCAUGGUGAAGACAGGUUGCUGGGGGGUGCGCUGACGCUGAGACACGAAAGCCAGGGGAGCAAACGGGAUUAGAUACCCCGGGUAGUCCUGGCCCUAAACGAUGUCCACUAGAUCGUGGUGCUUUUGACGGUGUCAUGGUCGAAGUAAAAAUGUUAAGUGGACCGCCCGGGAAGUACGGUCCCAAGGCUAAAACUCAAAGGAAU
rnacentral:rRNA from 1 species